rnacentral:rRNA from 1 species
CAAUAGCGUAUAUUAAUGUUGUUGCAGUUAAAAAGCGCGUAGUUGGAUUUCUGAUGGGAGCCCUGGUCACUCUAACGAGUGUACUGAUGUGGCGUCCUGUCGUUUCAUGGGGAUGCUUGCUGGUAUUAAGUUAUCGGCUUGUGGAUCCAUGUCGUUUACUGUGAAAAAAUUAGAGUGUUCAAAGCAGGCCAUCGCUGUGAAUACAUUAGCAUGGAAUAAUAAGAUAGGACUGUGGUGCUAUUUUGUUGGUUUGCGUACUACGGUAAUGAUUAAUAGGGAUAGUUGGGGGUAUUCAUAUUCAAUUGUCAGAGGUGAAAUUCUUGGAUUUAUGGAAGAUGAACUACUGCGAAAGCAUUUACCAAGGAUGUUUUCAUUA